rnacentral:rRNA from 1 species
AAGUCGGACGGACACCUUCGGGUGUCAGUAGCGGACGGGUGAGUAACGCGUAGGAAUCUACCCCUAGGAGGGGGAUAACAGCUGGAAACGGCUGCUAAUACCCCAUACAGGCGCGAGCUGAAAGGAGCAAUCCGCCUAGGGAUGAGCCUGCGUCGGAUUAGCUAGUUGGUGGGGUAAUGGCCUACCAAGGCGACGAUCCGUAGCGGGUCUGAGAGGAUGGCCCGCCACACUGGGACUGAGACACGGCCCAGACUCCUACGGGAGGCAGCAGUGGGGAAUUUUCCGCAAUGGGCGAAAGCCUGACGGAGCAAUACCGCGUGAGGGAGGAAGGCCUUCGGGUUGGAAAGCUCUUUUCUGGGGGACGAA